rnacentral:rRNA from 1 species
AACUUCUGAAUGUUGACCUCGGAUCAGGUAGGAAUACCCGCUGAACUUAAGCAUAUCAAUAAGCGGAGGAAAAGAAACCAACAGGGAUUGCCCUAGUAACGGCGAGUGAAGCGGCAACAGCUCAAAUUUGAAAUCUGGCUCUCGGGCCCGAGUUGUAAUUUGUAGAGGAUACUUUUGAUGCGGUGCCUUCCGAGUUCCCUGGAACGGGACGCCAUAGAGGGUGAGAGCCCCGUCUGGUUGGAUGCCAAAUCUCUGUAAAGUUCCUUCAACGAGUCGAGUAGUUUGGGAAUGCUGCUCUAAAUGGGAGGUAUAUGUCUUCUAAAGCUAAAUACCGGCCAGAGACCGAUAGCGCACAAGUAGAGUGAUCGAAAGAUGAAAAGCACUUUGAAAAGAGAGUUAAAAAGUACGUGAAAUUGUUGAAAGGGAAGCGUUUAUGACCAGACUUGGGCUUGGUUAAUCAUCUGGGGUUCUCCCCAGUGCACUUUUCCAGUCCAGGCCAGCAUCAGUUUUCCCCGGGGGAUAAAGGCGGCGGGAAUGUGGCUCUCUUCGGGGAGUGUUAUAGCCCACCGUGUAAUACCCUGGGGGGGACUGAGGUUCGCGCAUCUGCAAGGAUGCUGGCC